UGUACAUCAUAGAAUAUUUCCAUACACCAAAUAUAGUUGACUUAUUGCAUAUAGUAUAAGAAAAAAGACCAAAACUCAAAAACUUAACUUUGACCACUGAACCAUGAAAAUGAGGUCAAAGUCAGAUGACACCUGCCAGCUAGACAUGUACACCUUACAAUCAUUCCAUACACCAAA